GUUUCUGUAGUGUAGUGGUUAUCACGUUUGUCUCACCCGCAAAAGGUCCCUGGUUUGAAACCAGGCCGAAACA